rnacentral:rRNA from 1 species
AUACGGAGGGUCCAAGCGUUAUCCGGAAUCAUUGGGUUUAAAGGGUUCGUAGGCGGGUCAAUAAGUCAGAGGUGAAAUCUUGCAGCUUAACUGUAAAAUUGCCUUUGAAACUGUUGACCUUGAAUUACUGUGAAGUGGUUAGAAUAUGUAGUGUAGCGGUGAAAUGCUUAGAGAUUACAUAGAAUACCGAUUGCGAAGGCAGAUCACUAACAGUAUCUUGACGCUGAUGAACGAAAGCGUGGGUAGCGAACGGGAGUAGAUACCCCAGUAGUCC